rnacentral:rRNA from 1 species
GAUGAACGCUGGCGGCGUGCUUAACACAUGCAAGUCGAACGAUGAAGCCCAGCUUGCUGGGUGGAUUAGUGGCGAACGGGUGAGUAACACGUGAGUAACCUGCCCUUGACUCUGGGAUAAGCCCGGGAAACUGGGUCUAAUACCGGAUAGGAGCGCCUGUCGCAUGACGGGUGUUGGAAAGAUUUUUCGGUCAUGGAUGGACUCGCGGCCUAUCAGCUUGUUGGUGAGGUAAUGGCUCACCAAGGCGACGACGGGUAGCCGGCCUGAGAGGGUGACCGGCCACACUGGGACUGAGACACGGCCCAGACUCCUACGGGAGGCAGCAGUGGGGAAUAUUGCACAAUGGGCGGAAGCCUGAUGCAGCGACGCCGCGUGAGGGAUGACGGCCUUCGGGUUGUAAACCUCUUUCAGUAGGGAAGAAGCGAAAGUGGCGGUACCUGCAGAAGAAGCACCGGCUAACUACGUG